rnacentral:rRNA from 1 species
CUACGGGAUGCUGCAGUGAGGAAUAUUGCGCAAUGGGGGAAACCCUGACGCAGCGACGCCGCGUGGAUGAUGAAGGCCUUCGGGUCGUAAAAUCCUGUCAGAAGGAAAGAAGUGUAUGGUAGCUAAUAUCUGCCAUACUUGACGGUACCUUCAAAGGAAGCACCGGCUAACUCCGUGCCAGCAGCCGCGGUAAUACGGAGGGUGCAAGCGUUGUUCGGAAUUACUGGGCGUAGAGCGCGCGUAGGCGGUUUUAUAAGUCAGAUGUGAAAGGCCACGGCUCAACCAUGGAAGUGCAUUUGAAACUGUAAGACUUGAGUAUUGGAGGGGGUAGUGGAAUUCCCGGUGUAGAGGUGAAAUUCGUAGAUAUCGGGAGGAAUACCGGUGGCGAAGGCGACUAUCUGGCCAAAUACUGACGCUGAGGUGCGAAAGCGUGGGGAGCAAACAGGAUUAGAUACCCUAGUAGUC